UUUGGCUCCAAGGUCAAUUAACAAUCAACUUUACCAUUGGAUCAAAAAUUAGGAUAAUUGUUGAAGGAGUUCGAGGAUGGAGUAGUUCCAGUGACAUUGCUCUUGAUGAUUUCAAAUUUUUGGAUGGAGCUUGUGAUAUACUUCCGCUAACUGCCAAACCUCCACGCUUUGGCAUCCCUAUAAACAUUUGUCCAUCACGAACUAUUACGCUUUCUAAAGGACAUAUUGUGUCACCAAAUUACUAUCCACGUUACUAUCUCUACGCAAGAUGUACACUGACGAUUAAA